rnacentral:rRNA from 1 species
GUGGGGAAUAUUGCACAAUGGGGGAAACCCUGAUGCAGCAACGCCGCGUGAGUGAUGAAGGCCUUCGGGUUGUAAAGCUCUGUCUUCAGGGACGAUAAUGACGGUACCUGAGGAGGAAGCCACGGCUAACUACGUGCCAGCAGCCGCGGUAAUACGUAGGUGGCAAGCGUUGUCCGGAUUUACUGGGCGUAAAGGGAGCGUAGGCGGAUAUUUAAGUGGGAUGUGAAAUCCCCGGGCUUAACCUGGGGGCUGCAUUCCAAACUGGAUGUCUAGAGUGCAGGAGAGGAGAGUGGAAUUCCUAGUGUAGCGGUGAAAUGCGUAGAGAUUAGGAAGAACACCAGUGGCGAAGGCGACUCUCUGGACUGUAACUGACACUGAGGCUCGAAAGCGUGGGGAGCAAACAGGAUUAGAAACCCCAGUAGUCC